rnacentral:rRNA from 1 species
ACCCUUCACCCGUACUGAACCAUUUUAUAUUUCUAUAAAAACCAUUAUGCUAGAACUAGUAACAAGAAAUUGUGUUUCUCCUAAAUGUAAGCAUAAACCAAAACGGACUAACCGUUGGUAUUUAACGUAAAUGACUAAACUAUAGCAACUAUCAUCUAGAAAACCCUAUUGUUAUCCCACGUUAACCUUACACCAGAACAUUUCAGGAAAGAUUAAAAGAAAGAGAAGGAACUCGGCAAACUUUAGCCCCGCCUGUUUACCAAAAACAUCGCCUCUUGAAUUUUUACAUAAGAGGUCCAGCCUGCCCAGUGACAAAGUUCAACGGCCGCGGUACCCUAACCGUGCAAAGGUAGCAUAAUCACUCGUUCUUUAAAUAAGGACUAGUAUCAACGGCAUCACGAGGGCCAUACUGUCUCCUCCCUCCAAUCAGUGAAACUGAUCUCCCCGUGAAGAAGCGGGGAUUUAGCUAUAAGACGAGAAGACCCCAUGGAGCUUCAAACAAUGUGUUCACCAUGUGCCUUUGUACCAAUCUAGCACAAACCCCUGAACACUAGUUUUAGGUUGGGGGGACCGCGGAGUAAAACUAAACCUCCACGACAAACGGGCUACGCCCUAAUCCAAGAGUUACAACUCCAAGAAUCAAUAAACUGAUGUUUUAUGACCCGAUAAUUCGAUCAACGAACUAAGUUACCCUGGGGAUAACAGCGCAAUCUACUUUAAGAGUCCCUAUCGACAAGUAGGUUUACGACCUCGAUGUUGGAUCAGGGUGUCCCAGUGGUGCAGCCGCUACUAAUGGUUCGUUUG